GGCUAACGCUGGCGGCGUGUCUUAGCCAUGCAAGUCGAGCGGACUUAUGGGGUAACUUAUAAGUCAGCGGCGGACGGCGGAGUAACACGUAGCUAACCUACCCUCUGGACGGGGAUAACCUACCGAAAGGUGGGCUAAUACCCGAUGUAGUCAUCCUGUAUAGGGGUGAUGAAAGGUGGGCUUCUGUUUACAAGCUCAUGCUGGAGGAGGGGGCUGCGGCCUAUCAGGUAGUUGGUAGGGUAAUAGCCUACCAAGCCGAUGACGGGUAGCCGGCCUGAGAGGGUGACCGGCCCGAGGGGCACUGAGAUACGGGUCCCACUCCUACGGGAGGCAGCAGGCUAGAAAUUUGGGCAAUGGGGGAAACCCUGACCCAGUGACGCCGCGUGCAGGAAGGAGCCCUUCGGGGUGUAAACUGCUGUCGUGUAGGGAGAAGGGUACUAAGGUGAACAAUCUUAGUACUUGACGGUACUACAGGAGGAAGCCCAGGCUAACCUCGUGCCAGCAGCCGCGGUAAAGCGUACGUAGA
rnacentral:rRNA from 1 species